UGUGUGUUUGCAUAUGUGUGUAAGGGAUGCAUUGUGUGUUUCUGUGUAUGUGUGCAAAGGAUGCAUUGUCUUUAUGUCUAAGGGUUGCAUUGUGUGUUUCUCUGUGUGUAAGGGAAGCAUGUUGUGUUUCUGUGUGUAUAGGGAUGCAUUGUGUGUGUGCGCGUGGUGUGAAAGAGCUCCCUGUCCUGCCCCCUGUCCUAUAGAGCUCUCCCUUAGAGAUCUCCC